AGAGUUUGAUCCUGGCUCAGGAUGAACGCUAGCUACAGGCUUAACACAUGCAAGUCGAGGGGCAGCAUGUUGGUUGCUUGCAACCAAUGGUGGCGACCGGCGCACGGGUGAGUAACGCGUAUCCAACCUACCCUUGUCCAUCGGAUAACCCGUCGAAAGGCGGCCUAACACGAUAUGCGGUUCACAGCAGGCAUCUAAGGUGAACGAAAUGUGAAGGAGAAGGAUGGGGAUGCGUCUGAUUAGCUUGGUUGGCGGGGUAACGGCCCACCAAGGCGACGAUCGAGUAGGGGUUCUGAGAGGAAGGUCCCCCACAUUGGAACUGAGACACGGUCCAAACUCCUACGGGAGGCA
rnacentral:rRNA from 1 species